CACGACCGUACCGCAAACCGACACUGGUGCGCGAGAUGAGUAUUCUAAGGCGCUUGAGAGAACUCAGGAGAAGGAACUCGGCAAAUUGACACCGUAACUUCGGAAGAAGGUGUGCCCUAUUAGUGUGAAGUGAACAACGGAGCAUGAAUGGGUUGCAAAAAAUCGGUGGCUGCGACUGUUUAUUAAAAACACAGCACUCUGCAAACACGAAAGUGGACGUAUAGGGUGUGACGCCUGCCCGGUGCUGGAAGAUUAAAUGAUGGGGUGCAAGCUCUUGAUUGAAGUCCCAGUAAACGGCGGCCGUAACGAUAACGGUCCUAAGGUAGCGAAAUUCCUUGUCGGGUAAGUUCCGACCUGCACGAAUGGCGUAACGAUGGCCACACUGUCUCCUCCUGAGACUCAGCGAAGUUGAAAUGUUUGUGAUGAUGCAAUCUACCCGCGGAAAGACGGAAAGACCCCAUGAACCUUUACUGUAGCUUUGUAUUGGACUUUGAACAGAUCUGUGUAGGAUAGGUGGGAGGCUUUGAAGCAGGGUCGCUAGAUCUUGUGGAGCCAACGUUGAAAUACCACCCUGGUGUGUUUGAGGUUCUAACCUAGGUCCAUUAUCUGGAUCGGGGACAGUGCAUGGUAGGCAGUUUGACUGGGGCGGUCUCCUCCCAAAGCGUAACGGAGGAGUUCGAAGGUACGCUAGUUACGGUCGGACAUCGUGACGAUAGUGCAAUGGCAUAAGCGUGCUUAACUGCGAGACUGACAAGUCGAGCAGAUGCGAAAGCAGGACAUAGUGAUCCGGUGGUUCUGUAUGGAAGGGCCAUCGCUCAACGGAUAAAAGGUACUCUGGGGAUAACAGGCUGAUACCGCCCAAGAGUUCAUAUCGACGGCGGUGUUUGGCACCUCGAUGUCGGCUCAUCUCAUCCUGGGGCUGUAGCCGGUCCCAAGGGUAUGGCUGUUCGCCAUUUAAAGAGGUACGUGAGCUGGGUUUAAAACGUCGUGAGACAGUUUGGUCCCUAUCUUCCGUGGGCGCUGCAGAUUUGAGGAAGCCUGCUCCUAGUACGAGAGGACCGGAGUGGACACACCUCUGGUGUAUCGGUUGUCACGCCAGUGGCAUUGCCGAGUAGCUAAGUGUGGAAGAGAUAACCGCUGAAAGCAUCUAAGCGGGAAACUCGUUUCAAGGUGAGAUCUGCCGGGGCCUUGAGCCCCCUGAAGAGUCGUUCAAGACCAGGACGUUGAUAGGUCAGGUGUGGAAGCUAAA
rnacentral:rRNA from 1 species